UUGGCUUGGGAUCAACCUUCCCCUGGCUGACUCUCCUUCUCGUGUGUUGGAAGGGUGGAAGAAAGUAGGAACAAGGUGGCUAAAAAGUUUUAAAGAUGGGUAUGUCUGUCUGUCACGCAGACCCCCUACAAAAAUUAUGGAGUGGAGAGAGAUAUCCUAAGAAUGGAGGUAUUAGGCUUUAUUUAUAGUUGUAGGCAGGG
rnacentral:lncRNA from 1 species